UAGACUAUAAAUAGACCUCCUCCUCCCCAUUUUUAGGGUUAGCAAAGUGAUAGCUCAUUUGUAUGUGAGCUUUGCUCCUACCUAUCUCUACUCUUGAGAGAGAGAGACCACUACUCCAUUGGAGGCCAAGACCUCCAUCUAGGAGAAGAUCCUGCGGGAUAUCAUCAAGACCCCCUUGUGGGAAGAUCCAUCUAGGAUAUCAUCAAGACCUCCUCUUGGAGAUGAACCUUACCUUGUAUCUUUCCCUUUGUUGUUCAUGUACCUUGUGAUCUUGUGUGUUUGAUUGUCUAGUGGAUGUGUGAUUUGGACUUGUUCUUGAGUGUUUCCCCUUGUGAUUUCUCCCCGUUCUUCCCCGUGUUCAUCGUGUUCUUCGAGGGAUCCCACUCCAAACGUGAAAGAUCGUCGCUAUAGGGUUCCACCCUACAUCAUAUGGUAUCAUGAGCCACGUUGAUCACGUUUUUGGAGCCCCUACCCCUCUUUUUCUAGCUUGAUUUUGUUGUUUUCGUCCUAAAUCCGAAAAUCCCCACCAAAAAUAGCCCCCAAUUUUUUUUUUUGAUUUGUUGGUUUGAUGAUGUUUUGUUGAUUUUGAUCCAUGGAUUUGCUUGGUUUCAAGUGGAUCUAGCUUUCCCCCAAGUUUCCCCACCCUCCAUCCACGAAAUCUCGUCAAUUUUAACCCCAAAAUCCCCAAAUUCCGCCCAAAAAUUCGUCCCCGAGAGGAAAUCCCGAGCAGUUUGACCUGCCCGGAUCAUCCGGACCUUCUCCCGGAUCAUCCGGACAUCCCCCGGAUCNNNNNNNNNNNNNNNNNNNNNNNNNNNNNNNNNNNNNNNNNNNNNNNNNNNNNNNNNNNNNNNNNNNNNNNNNNNNNNNNNNNNNNNNNNNNNNNNNNNNNNNNNNNNNNNNNNNNNNNNNNNNNNNNNNNNNNNNNNNNNNNNNNNNNNNNNNNNNNNNNNNNNNNNNNNNNNNNNNNNNNNNNNNNNNNNNNNNNNNNNNNNNNNNNNNNNNNNNNNNNNNNNNNNNNNNNNNNNNNNNNNNNNNNNNNNNNNNNNNNNNNNNNNNNNNNNNNGGAUUUCCUCCCGGAUCAUCCGGACCUAGCCCGGAUCAUCCGGACCUCCUCCCGGAUGUCCGGUUAACCCUGACACUGACUCGGCUGAAUUCUUGUUUCGGCCAUAACUAAUUCAUCCGGAGUCCGAUUUUGAUGUUCUUUAGCUCGUUUUGAAGCUCUUGACAUCCCCCAUCCCACAAAAAUACCAACAACAUCAUUUGACUCCAUCAUAUUUUCUGAAAUUUGGCAAGUUUGCCUAGGACUUCCACAAUAUCAUCCGCAUUACCACCACCGACUUCCGCAACCUAACCCAUUUUGUUCCCCAUUGCAUAUGUGGUUGUUUGAGUUGUGAUUAGAGUCUCCUAAGGUGUUUCGGCUACUUAGGGACAAUUUCUUCUUCAUCAACCACCACCACCACUUCCGCAUAACCUUGCCCACCAUACAAUUCCACCCCCAACUUAACCCAAUAGUUGUUUGAGCUUGUUUGAGUUGUGGCUUGUGUCUCCUAAGGUGUUUCGGCUACUUAGGGACGGCAAAUUCAACUCUGACUCGUGUAUAGCCCAUCAUUCCACUUCCGCAUUGCCUAGUGCAACACCACCACCGCUUUCUGCUACCACCAUUUGACAUUUGUCAUUUGACAUUUUGAGUUUGCGGUUUUUCCGUUUCCUAAGGUGUUUCGGCUACUUAGGGACGAGUCUCCAUCAUCUUGGUAUCUACACCAAGAACACCGCCACUCAUCAUUGCAAGGACGGUAACCUCGACGACACCAUUGUAUAUUCCCUUGCAAUUGCAUUGUUAACCCCUAGCCCAUUUUGCGUUACUUGCCUAUCGAGACUAGCCAUUUGAGUAUUGCCGGCAACGUGACUUGUGCACAUUAGUGGUCUACACCAUCCAUUGCAUACAUACCAUAUCAUCUUGGUAUCAUAUCAUCCAUUGUGCCUCAAGUUUGUUCCCGCAUAUACACAAUUGCUAUCUUGGUUUGUGCAUUGUGCAAAUGUGGCCAUAGAAAAAAAAGAGAAAAAGCUUUUAAGCAAAAAGAGAGCAAAGAGCUCGUGAGCAAGUGCCAUAGCAUCAUACCCCAUUGCAAAUAAGAGCCAUACCAAAAUCUACAUUAUAUGAUAUCAUGCUUGAGAGAAACACAGGGAACCAUACAUACAUAGCAUACUUGGGAUAGAAGUUUAUCCAUUUCGCAUCUAUAGGUUGUGCACAAGUGUCGUAUUCGCCUAUUGAGCAAUCGUGCUAGCGUCUCUCUUGAGUUGUGCAACACGAGCGUUUUCCGUGGACUCCACAUUUUGUGCUCAUUCCUUGGUUGCACGACCCCAUUUAUCUAUCCGUGUGUGUGUUUCCGUGUACCAUUUGCUAUUGAUCUACUUGUUUCACUUGCGAAUUUGUGAAUCUCUUUCAACAUUAUUGACUCUUGCUAACAUUUUGCAUCAAAUUUUUGUGCCACUAUCCUCACCAAGCUCUACCAUAAGCUUUACUUGAUAGGUGUGAGUGAACAAGUCAGGUACCAAUUCCACUAUUCUUUCAUCUCACAUUGAGUGAUACGAGAUACAUCCUCAACUUUGGGAAAAGGUAACUUGGUAUUAUUUAUCUCAUUUCCUACUCACCUCUACUCGAGUCUUGUGAUGGAUAGGCAAGGCAUUUCACUUUCGGUCUACAACAACAACGACGAGUUCGAUGCCAUGAACAACAACUACAACGCCAAGAUGGACAAGCGCAUGGAGGAGAUCAAGGCCCUCAUCAAGUCCUACAAGUGAUCUUCCUCAUCUUCGAGAAGACGCUCAAGAGCACAUCCUUCCGAGCUACCACCUCCGGCAAGAUCACAUCGGCAUCGACACCAUCACCAACAAGAACGUGAAGGUCAAGAGCUCAACACCAACAACCGCUCAACGACUUCACCAUCUCCCUUGGCAUCUUCGCCAAGCAACUUCAAGGCAUCUUCGCCUACGGACAUAUGGCAUCUUCGUCAACAAGAACCUCAAGACUACACUCAAGAGAAGCUACCCAAGCUCAAGUCCGCGACUUCCACGAGCUACUACGACCUCGACACCGACCACAAGAUUCCUUUCUAUGGGACUCAAGAACCCGAGGAGUACCUCGAGUGGGAGCGUUUGAUGGACGACUACCUCAAGCUACAUCAAGUUCAUCCCGAAGAUCAAGUGAAGUGCGCCACAAGAAACUUCCAUGACUACGCCUCGACAUGGUGGCUUCACACACCUUCGGAGAGCUACGAGAUGAGUUGGCCCAAGACGAAGAGAGCUUUACGGUGAUAGUUUGUGCCUCCAACCUACACGGAACAACUUCGACGCCAAUUGGAGAACACCACCCAAGGAUCCAAGUCCAUCGACAAGUACUUCAAGGAGAUCAUGAUUGCCUUGCGACGAGCCGGCGUGGACGACCCCAUGUCAAUGAAGUUCCACUUCAUGAUGGGAUUGCACAACGACAUCUCCAAGACCAUCUUCAUCGAGAACUACAAGUCCAUCGACGACUACUACAUUGGUGCUCUCAAGGCAGAACAAGAACUCAUGAAGGCCAAGGCUUCUCCACCCCAAGCACACUUCGCGGCGACCAAGCUCUACAACAAGCAUGAGGCUAGUACCACCACGAUGUCCAAGGCCGACAAGCUCCAAGACGAUACUCCCACGUGCGACUUCACCGCCAUCCCUCUUUGUGGCAUUGAUGAUGCCGAGUCUACUUCGACUCUUUUUCAAGACGGUGCGGCGACGAGUUAGACUACGAAGACCUUCAAGGACCAAGCUUUGGAGGCAAGUGACAAGGUGGCGAGCAAGGAUGAUGCUUCCAUCUUAGGAGGUGAGAGUGAUGAUGUGCCAUCUUCGGCCUUCAUCCACGAUAAGAGUGAUGUUGAGCCAUCUUCGGCCUUCAUCCACGACGAGAGUGAUGAUGUGCCAUCUUCGGCCUUCAUCUACGGCGACGGUGACGAGAUGAUCGAGCAUGGGAUUUUCCCUUCGGUCAUGGAGGAGAGUGAUGAUGUGCCAUCUUCGUCCUUCAUCCACAGCGACGACGACGAGAUGGUUGAUCAUGGGAUCUUCCCUUCGACCACGGCGACGUAUGAUGACUUGAGUGACUUGUGCCACCAUAUUGAGAGUGAGAGUGACUUCACCACUAGCCCCAUAUAUGAUGAGUUGCCACAAUUCCCAUGUGAGGAGAGCCACAAGCCCCACCACUUGAGUGAGAUGAGUGACUCCACCAUACGUGAGUUUGAGUGCACCUAUUUUGAGGGAGUGAGUGAACCACCACAUAGAGAGAGUGAGAUAGUUGAUAGGUCUCCUGAGGCCAUUUGCAUUUCUAACAACUUGACCUCUACCUCUAUUGUGUCUUCUCGUUUGGUGCUAGGUCCCAUUUAUGAUGACGCGCCGAUCCUCGACGACUUCGUCCUCCCUUUGGACAAGAUGAUGGCCAUGGUGGAAUAUGAUGCACCCCCCACAUGGUUCCAUCAAGAUGAUGAUGAUGACCACCAUUUGGUCUUUCCCACCUCACCUACACCACUUGAGUGGAAUGACAAAGGUAACAUAGGUGAAGGUGAUGCUCUAGUCCCACUAGUGGACAUUCUUGACAUUGAUUGCUUGCAUGAUGUUGAUCCACCUAUUGCCAUGCUUCAUGCUAGUAUGAUUUCCCCAUGCGAUGAUUUGCCCAUUUAUGAUGAGUAUGAUGAUUCUAUUGUGGAGUCUAUUAGUUGUGAUGCCAUGUUACAUAGGAUUUCUUGUGACAACUCUUUAGGUCACAUCAUGUUUGAUAAUCCGCUUGACUUGUCAUAUGCUAUGCAUGAGAUCAACCAUAUGUCUUAUUUGCAAUCUCUUCAUAGUGACUAUGCAUAUGCCAUUAAAAUAAACCCGAUUUGCACAUAUGGCAUAGAUGACAAGCCCGUGGUUAUUGGCAUUUGUUUCUCUUGUGACGAUAUUGAUAUGCUCCCUUUGCAUCAUUUAUCUCAUAUGCCAUGCCAUGACCACCUAGCUUCGGAUAUGCAUUGUUUUGGAUGUUGUCCAUUUUCUCCAUAUGAUGUUUCCAAUAUUGCUCAUGAGGAGACCCCCAUAGUUUCCUCAUAUAUGUUAGGAGAAUUUGAUCCAUCCCAUUCAUUGCAUGAUCCCAAUACUUGUGUGCACCAUAUGCUCCUCAUGAAUAAACAUGCUUUUGAUGUGCCAUAUACUUGUUUGCUCAAUUUGUGUCCCCAUCGUGUCAUACAUAAUAACUAUUCUUUCAUGAUGGAUGACAUGUUCUUAUACCAUGCAUCAAAUUUCUUUGAGCGAUGCUUAUCUUGUGCUAACUCACACGUGCACAUACACGUCAUGAUGGAUGAUGUGUACAUUUACCACGCGCACAAUUUCUUUGGAUUGUGUCUCUUUUGUGUAGGUACCCAUGAAUACUUGUCAACCUCGCAAUCCCACGAGUUGACAAAACGAGCUCUUGAGAGCAAUGACGAUUUGGGAUCCCGUGGACUAUCCUUACCACCGUUCCCUUCGCGCAAGGACUACGCGCAACUCCUCUACUUGGCUCUCACACGGCUAUGGGCCAUUUACCACUUCUCACAUUAUGCUCAUUUUACCGUGUUCACUUUGCAUGCUAUGCUUGCUUCUAUGACUUUGCCAUGCAAUUGUGACCCUUGCUUGCAUCUACCCAUGUUUCAUCAUUAUGAUAUUCCUAUGUGUAUUUGCAUGCUUGGUGGAGAUCCUUGUUGCUUUUGCCAUGUUUAUCAUGUGCCCCAUUCUAUUGAUGCUUGUUGUGUUGGGAGAGUCAUGAUGACCCAUUGCUAUUCACAUAUGGCUUCUCGCCAAUACAUUCAUGAUAUUGUACUCAUAUCUUGCUUUCAUGCAUGUGCUAUGACUUGUGAAUUAUUCAUGCCCACUAUUUGCACCCAUGACAUGAUUGCCAUGAUUUACUCUAGUGUGUUGCAUCUUCGCUCCACUAGUUUACACGACUUGAUCUCAAUGCUUGCUCAUGUUGCAUCACCCAUGUUCCACUACUUGCUUUCUUGGGUUGAUGACAAAUAUGCUCAUGCCUCUCACAUGAUAUAUCUUGGUCAUAUAUCUCCAUGUGUUGCCUCUCUCAUGCUAGAUGAUUUGCCAUGUAUUCAGUGCAACAAUGCUUAUAUUCGUGCUCUUAAGAUUGCCCCCAUAGCAUUCUUACAUAUGUUUGGAGAUUUUGACAUAUUCCUUGUGAAGCAUGUUUGUCUUACCUCUUUGCACCAUAUACCUAGUGCCUUGAAUAUCGCCAUUGUUGCAUCAUAUUAUUCAUGCACUUGUGCUUCUAAUGGUUAUGUGCAAGAGAAGAGAACCAUCAUGAUGGAUGAUGUGUUUAUCUACCAUGCGCAUACGCUCUUUGUUUUGUUGUGUGCUUGUGUAGGAUACUUGGACUUCGUGUCGACUUCCACUUCACGUGAGUUGACCAUUCGAGCUCUUGAGAGCGAGCCUCAUACAUUCGACCAUGAAUCGCUUCUACACCACAUUUCCUACCACUUCGACAUUGUGAAGAAUGCACAAGGACAUGCUUUCGAGGUGAUAUCCUUCUAUCUCGAGAACACCCAAACCAUGAGCAUGCAUAUUGUGGAUCAUACUUCAUGUGUUUCUUGCUCCAUUGCUAUGCCUCAUGACAUAUAUGCCUUGUGUGUUGCAUCUAGUUCUUCACAUAUGCCAUGUCCCUUUGCUUAUCACAUGCUUGACUUGAUUGCCUCACACAUGUUGAACAAUUGCUCUUUCCAUUGUGUUGAGUGCCACGAUAUCUUCACUACACCCUAUGCACGUUAUGCUUGGAUUGUCUUGCACUUGCCCCAUGUGUUUAGACAUUUCACUAUAUUUGGUGUUGUGAAUGACUCUUAUGCCUACCAUAGACCGUUCAUGGAGCACUUUAUGCAUGCUUGCAAUGACCUUGAGGUAGAUGCUUGUUCACUUAUCACAUAUAUUUGCAUCUUGACCUCCCAUUUGCAUGCUUGUUCCCAUGAUAUACUUGAUUGUGCUCAUUUUAUAUGCUCAAAUGUCAUGACACACUUCUUUGUCAAACCAUAUGCUAUGCUUGAUGACAACACUUGUUGGGUGAAUCACCUCUUGAAUGCUUGGUUUUGCUCUUACGACAACCACAUUUGUUUUUCCAAGUGCUUGUUAUCUUUGCUAUUUUUGAAGGAAUUACAAGACGGUGUGACAUUGGAGAGUGCCCAUUUGGAACUUCAAGAUGACAAGAACUUGGUGAUCGACCACUUCUACAUGGCAACACCAUCUCUUUCCCAUGGUGAUUUGGUUUUCAAUCCGAGGUCGGAUCUUUCCCAAGGGGGAGGGGAUGAUGCGGAGCAUCCUACGGACAUCACCACGUCAAGAGCCCAUUUGGCAAGUGACACGUGCGACAUCUACUUCACACACACUAAGGUGAAUCAUCUCCUUUACAUGUGCUCACUUGACCCCUUCGAGGAUGGCAUACUACUUGACACUUCUCCCAUGUGCAUGCAUAGGUAUUGUCAGAACUUCACGAACGACGAGGAGGAGUGCAAGCGCCAAGGAACGACUACACCAUCCGCGAGGGAAGCGUGGAAGAGAAGACGGAAGAAAGGAGAAGAAGACGGAGCGGCUGCAGGAGCCAGGCCGGACAUCCGGACCGCCGUCCGGAUCAUCCGGGCUCAGCCGGAUCAUCCGGGUCCCCCUCCGGAUCAUCCGGAUAAUUCGUCCGAAGACACCCGAAGGCCUCCUGUGAAGCCGGAUCAUCCGGGACCCCUCCCGGAUCAUCCGGACGAUGGCCGGAUCAUCCGGACCCCCAGCCGGAUCGUCCGGACGACGGCCGGACCAUCCGGACCCCCAUCCGGAUCAUCCGGGCUUUGCCUGCAUGCAACGUUUCGGGCCAGGGCCCAUGUACCCAUUCGCCCCCUCACUUACCCUUUCGCCCACUAGACUAUAAAUAGACCUCCUCCUCCCCAUUUUUAGGGUUAGCAAAGUGAUAGCUCAUUUAUAUGUGAGCUUUGCUCCUACCUAUCUCUACUCUUGAGAGAGAGAGACCACUACUCCAUUGGAGGCCAAGACCUCCAUCUAGGAGAAGAUCCUGUGGGAUAUCAUCAAGACCCCCUUGUGGGAAGAUCCAUCUAGGAUAUCAUCAAGACCUCCUCUUGGAGAUGAACCUUACCUUGUAUCUUUCCCUUUGUUGUUCAUGUACCUUGUGAUCUUGUGUGUUUGAUUGUCUAGUGGAUGUGUGAUUUGGACUUGUUCUUGAGUGUUUCCCCUUGUGAUUUCUCCCCGUUCUUCCCCGUGUUCAUCGUGUUCUUCGAGGGAUCCCACUCCAAACGUGAAAGAUCGUUGCUAUAGGGUUCCACCCUACAUC
rnacentral:lncRNA from 1 species